CUUCUACCCGGGGGCUCCAGUGCAUCUGGCUUUAUCUCUGGGGUGCUUCCAUACAAAGGGGACAGAAGAGAUGAUGGAAGGCCUCAGUACUGCAGGAGGGGAGACGGAUGUCAUCUACAAUCACACAAUACAUGGGAGGUCACAGGUCUACAACAUCCAGAGCAGCCACAUUGCAAGUGCUCAGUAGCCACAUGUGGCUGGCACAUGUGGCCCAUGGCAACUGUGCUGGACAUGAACGCCAGGGUGACGUAACAAUUCAAACCAUGAAGAGGUAACAGAGCCCUUCGCGCGUCUCAACACGUGGUGACGCAGCUAAUAACCUGUGAUGCAUACAUGGGAACAAAUGCAUAGAAAAACUUGUCAAUGACACGGCAAAGUAAAACCCAAAUGAAGCGAGGUGAAAGAAUGGGCUGCAGCGCAGGCAAAACUGCACCACGUUACAGACUGCUCGCCUGGGAUGGAACGGUGGGGAGGUGCGCAGACGGAUGGACAAGCGCCUGGCAAAAUGGAUUUCUUUUCCUAGACUGCUAAUGCUACUAACAGUUCCCUCCUCACAGGGUCGCUAUAACGAGGUAACAUACAGCACUUAGAAGACGGCCUGACCCAGAAUAACACUAAUGUUCACAUGGCUGCGAGUCUCAGACCAAAAUCAAUAGCCGGUAUCUACUGAAACUGCAGCAAGGCGAAACCACGG
ensembl:lncRNA DSCR9 Down syndrome critical region 9